rnacentral:rRNA from 1 species
AGCGAACGCUGGCGGCAGGCUUAACACAUGCAAGUCGAGCGGACCUUUCGGGGUCAGCGGCGGACGGGUGAGUAACGCGUGGGAACGUGCCUUCCGGUUCGGAAUAACCCUGGGAAACUAGGGCUAAUACCGGAUACGCCCUUAUGGGGAAAGGUUUACUGCCGGAAGAUCGGCCCGCGUCUGAUUAGCUAGUUGGUGGGGUAACGGCCUACCAAGGCGAGGAUCAGUAGCUGGUCUGAGAGGAUGAUCAGCCACACUGGGACUGAGACACGGCCCAGACUCCUACGGGAGGAAGCAGUGGGGAAUAUUGGAAAAUGGGCGCAAGCCUGAUCCAGCCAUGCCGCGUGAGUGAUGAAGGCCUUAGGGUUGUAAAGCUCUUUUAUCCGGGACGAUAAUGACGGUACCGGAGGAAUAAGCCCCGGCUAACUUCGUG